GGGUAUAGGGUUUAGUAUGAUUAUUAAAUUUAUUUACCAUGUCAGAAUUGUAAGAUAGCAGCAUAAAGUAAACAUUUGUAGUUAGUAUAAACCCUAUACCUG
rnacentral:SRP_RNA from 1 species